rnacentral:tRNA from 1 species
GGGGCUGUAGUUCAGUUGGUUAGAACGCCGGCCUGUCACGCCGGAGGUCGCGAGUUCGAUCCUCGUCGGCCCCGCCA